CCCAACUUGUGCUUUCUCUCUCUCUCUCUCUCUCUCUGUCUCUCAAAAUAAAUAAACUUAAAAAAAACAAAGUUAACCUGUAUCUGGCUUGCAGAAGGGCAAUUCUUGGAAGGAGAGAGCAAAGAUGUAGGGGGACUGAUGUCCUAGCCAGCCGACACCUUCACGGUGGCCCUAUGAAGACAUAGAAAGUUCUGGUAGGCUUAUGGAAGAGUCCGAGACUUAUCCAGGGUAAAGGGGCAAAGGAGAGCCCCAUGUCUCAGAAGGAAAGAUGGAAAGGUGGUGAGGAAGUGAAGCUGGAGGGCUGGUCACAGGAGCCUCAGCUGAGUCAGAGCUGGGAUCCUGACGAAGCUAAGAUAUAAAUAUUGUGAGAGGCCUGUCAUCUACCACUCAGCCUGCCCCCAAAGUGCUUAUACAUAUGACUCCUGGACGACAGUGGAACACUUUCGUUGUUCAUUCACUCACGCGUUCAGCAACUAAUAAGUUCUCACCAUGUGCCGGCCAUGGUGCUGUGCCUCUCAGCGUGCAGGCAUCAGGAAGACGUGGUCUGCCCUCUCAAGGAUGAAGGGGUCUACUAGAGAUACAAACAAAUGCUACGUGACUGCAGAGGUGGAAACAGUGAACUGUGCCCGGAGGAAUAAGAGAAAGCUUCAUGGAGGAGACCGGCCUUAAAAGACUCUGUGAGCCACGAAGAGCCAUAAAGGAGCAGGCUGAGGACGGAAGACAGCGAAGCUUUCUUAUGCCACGUGAUCCAGGCCAAUGGCUUAAACGUUUUACAUCAUUACUCCUAUGUGCCUGCCUCUGGGACACAUUCUGUUGAUUUACUGGCUUCCUGGAAGAAAAGGUACCAUUUACCUGAAGGUAACCUCGCUGAAAAAGAGCUUCGAGUCUACAAAACUCUGUGGUUCUUGACCUCUUGCUGCGGCAGCAAAACAAAACAAAAACAAAGAAGCAAAACCAGUUUCCUGGAAACCUCAUGGGUCUUUUGACUUGUUCUUGACGUUCAGUGGGGUUGUCAAAGCUAAGGAGAUACUGAACAAACUCUACCCAGUUCGGUUUGGGCAGGUAAAACUCGUCAGUGCUGUGGCCAGACCUUCGCCCUCCACACAGAUGCAGGAUCCUAGCGUUGGUUCCGGUCGCCUUGGGUACUGGAAGACCCAAGGUUCCAGUCGCCUUGGGUACUGGGUGCUGCCUCUUCUGUGAGAGGCAGCAUCCUAGCCUUGACCAGAGUGGAGAAAGGUCCAAGAACUGAGGACCCCGUCCAGGGUCAGAAAGUCGCAAACUGGGGAUGAGCCCAGAGGAAGGGGUGCAACAUACUUCCGUACUGUCCACCAGGACCCCACUUCCUGACAGGGGGAAGUGAUUCUGUGGGGUCCAUUCUUCCUGCAUCCUCUUUAAACAUCUCCAAGCACCCCCACCAAAGCCCUGAGGAGACCUCUGAAGCCACCCUUUCUCUCCUGUUAGCUGUAAACAGCUGCUAGCAGCCCAGAGUGGGAUAAAGAAAGUCAGAGCCCAAGAGAGGCCUCCACAGUGUCAGCACCCCGGGUUCUGUCCAGCCUAGAAUCUGACGGCUGAGACCCCCAGGCACAGUGUGGGGCAGGGACCACGAGGGGCCUCCUCCACACCCUCCAAAGGCAGAGCGGGGCCAGAACAUCCAGGGAACGGCUUUCGUGAUGUGUCCCAAUUCUUCUCCUGUGAGCUCACUGUAUUUCCCACCGGGGCCACAUCAGGGAAGAGUGAAGUUCGUAAGUUGACUUCCCACUGCCUAAAGUGGACACAUCUUUUUCUCCCAAAAGACCCACUGUACCAACUUGAAUUUGAUAACCUAACAAAGAGAAGAAGCAAAUGAUUAUGAUUGGGAUCUGCGAUGUACUAAAGCCUUUGCUAAGUGUGCACUUUUGCUAAAUUGUUUCACAGCAUACCUAUUAUGUAAGAAGGAUUACCCCCAUCUUACAGGUGAGGAGCUAGGUUUGAAUCCUAUGUGGAUUAAAGCUUAGCCUGUUCUCCAUUUUCUCUUGCUGCCAAGUCCGUAAUGUCAUUAUAUGCUGCCUUAUAGCGACCUCUGUCUUUCCAAAUUAAAGAGCCCUCUUAUUUUGAUGCCCCACCUUGGUUUCUGUGUAGAGGAGGGCUAGGGAUCUAAACAUAUUGGCUGGAAGCCAAUAAAUCCCUCAUCAAAUAUUCGUUGAGACCCUCCGAGAGAGAGAUCCCAUCUGCAAGGACAGAGCUACCCAUUUCGGAAUAGGGAAAAACAUGUCCAUUGUCAUGUCUUCCUUGUAGCCAGGCCCCAGAGGUGUGGGUUGUCAUUUCGAGAUGCAGAACAAACAUCGCAGAAUAACUCUAAGGACCUGGUGAUCUCCCCCCCCACUACAGCACCAUCGCAUACCAGUGAGCCCCAAAGCAGCCUUCUUCAGUGUUGGCAAAUGUGUUAGUGGAGGCAGACAUUGUUAGGUCCCCCGACCAACGGUGCCUUGCUUUGCUUCUUGAUGUCUUCACUUGGACCCAGAGGAAGACAGCCAGCACUGGCAGAGCAACAUGGGAGCGUCCUGGUGAGAAGCUUAGGUAGCCUGGCACACUGAGGCAGCCCACACUUUAGGUAGCAGAACUGAUUGAAUAUCGUGAUUCACCCUCUCCUUGGCUUUCAGCCCUCAUCGACUCUUCCAGGAAGGAAGCCACACAGAGGAAGAGAGGGAGGCGGGAGGGGAGGAAGGACCAUUCCCACGGCGAGAAGGUCCCUGACCUGUGAUGGGGGAGGAUGGGAUCUAAGGGCUGGCUGCUGAGAGAGGCAAGGAAAGCUGGGUGCUUUGGAGCCAAAGCGCUCAUUAUGAGAAGUUUCUUAAUGACCGUAAGUCCUCAGGGAGGCACGUGGGCAAUGUGUGGUGCCAAACAUGCCUGCCCGGGGCCUCCCGUCCAGAUGGAAAACGUGUAGAGAGUUAGGAGAGGAGAAGAAAUGGCGUGGUUGCUGAAGGUGACUGAUGGCCUUGGGACAGCAAAUCAGGCUCCUGUGGGAUCAGUUUUUCCUGGAACCAGACACAAAGAUUAGUGACUUUCAGAUGAGAAGGAACCUCAGGUCCUGGUUUUUGGAACAGAGUUUCUUUGCGGUUCCUUGAGGGUUUCGUUUGUGUUCACCUCCAGACUUUCUCUUGUGACCUUUCUUCCUUCU